rnacentral:rRNA from 1 species
UUGUAGGAUGUAAGUUUUAAUAGAAUUACAUAAUUGUGUAAUUUUCUAUAUAAAACGAAUAUUAAAGAUGUAAAGUUCUAAAUAAAAGACUUAAAUAGACAAAUUUUUAUUUACAAGUCUUGACCAAAUCACGUGCCAGCAGUCGCGGUAAGACGUGAAAGACUAGUGUUAUUCAUCAUUAUUAGGUUUAAAGGGUACGCAGAUAGUUAAUUUAUCCUAAACCAGGUAAAAAUUAACUAGAGUUUAAUAUGAGAAGGUGGAACUUUUGGUAAAGUGAUAAAAUACUCCGAAACUAAAAGGACUGGUAACGGCGAAGACAACCUUCUAAGUAAAAACUGACAUCAAGGGACGAAGGCUUGGGUAACGAUCAGGAUUAGAUACCCUAAUAGUCCAAGCAGAAAAUUAUGAGUGUCAUAGACUAGAAUAUUUAGUCUAUAAAUAAAAGUGUAAGCACUUCACCUUAAGAGUAAUGUGGCAACGCAGAAACUUAAAUCAUUAGACCGUUUCUGAAACCAGUAGUGAAGUAUGUUGUUUAAUUCGAUGACCCGCGAAAAACCUUACCACAAUUUGUAUAUUAUUUAAUUAAUACAGGUGCUGCACGGCUGUCUUUAGUUAAUAUCGUGAGAUUUUGGUUAGUUCCAUUAAUUAACGUAAACCCUUGUUUUAUUUUUAAAUAAAAUAGCUCUGCUAAUAAUUAAUUAGUAAGUUAACAGGGAUCAAGACAAGUCAUCAUGGCCUUAA